ensembl:lncRNA
CUGGCUAAUGGGAGCUUGUGGCUGGGUGUCUGGCUAAUGGGAGCAUGUGGCUGGGUGUCUGGCUAAUGGGAGCCUGUCCCUGUGGCUGGGUGUCUGGCUAAUGGGAGCUUGUGGCUGGGUGAAUAAAUGUGUCUGGAAUGGGAACACUUUUUAAAAUGUUAGUUUUGGAGGGUCAGUGCAACAUUUGUUGUUUAAUAAAGUGUGUGUUUUUAAAUAAUUUUCAACUGCAAGAUGUGGGCAAGAUAUACUGUCGACGUGAAGGGGAAAGGCCAGAUUCAACAAUGGGACUAGGCCUACAUAGUCUACAUUGAAAGAACAUUAGGCCUGUUACAGGCCGUUAUAUAACGUCUGGAUUCUGAAGAGGAUGGAUGUGGUGGGAAUCACAGACCCUGACAACAGUCUGAUGAGGAUGGAUGAGCCAGGAAGCUCAGACCAUGACAACAGUCUGAUGAGGAUGGAUGCUGCAGGAAGCUCAGACCCUGACAACAGUCUGAUGAGGAUGGAUGAGCCAGGAAGCUCAGACCCUGACAACAGUCUGAUGAGGAUGGAUGCUGCAGGAAGCUCAGACCCUGACAACAGUCUGAUGAGGAUGGAUGCUGCAGGAAGCUCAGACCCCGACAACAGUCUGACGAGGAUGGAUGAGGGGGGAAGCUCCGACCCCGACAACAGUCUGAAGAGGAUGGAUGAGCCGGGAAGCUCAGACCCCGACAACAGUUUGAAGAGGAUGGAUGAGCCAGAUAGCUCCGACCUCGACAACAGUCUGAAGAGGAUGGAUGAGGGGGGAAGCUCAGACCCCGACAACAGUUUGAAGAGGAUGGAUGAGCCGGGAAGCUCCGACUCCAAUAACAGUCUGAAGAGGAUGGAUGAGCCGGGAAGCUCCGACUCCGACAACAGUCUGAAGAGGAUGGAUGCUGCAGGAAGCUCCGACUCCGACAACAGUUUGAAGAGGAUGGAUGAGCCGGGAAGCUCCGACCCCAACAACAGUCUGAAGAGGAUGGAUGAGGGGGGAAGCUCCGACCCCGACAACAGUCUGAAGAGGAUGGAUGAGCCAGAUAGCUCCGACCCCGACAACAGUCUGAAGAGGAUGGAUGAGCCAGAUAGCUCCAACCCCAACAACAGUCUGAAGAGGAUGGAUGAGCCGGAAAGCUCCGACAACAGUCUGAAGAGGAUGGAUGCUGCAGGAAGCUCCGACUCCGACAACAGUUUGAAGAGGAUGGAUGCUGCAGGAAGCUCCGACUCCGACAACAGUUUGAAGAGGAUGGAUGAGCCGGGAAGCUCCGACCCCAACAACAGUCUGAAGAGGAUGGAUGAGGGGGGAAGCUCCGACCCCGACAACAGUCUGAAGAGGAUAGAUGAGCCAGAUAGCUCAGACCCCGACAACAGUCUGAAGAGGAUGGAUGAGCCGGGAAGCUCCGACCCUGACAACAAUUUGAAAGAGAUGGAUGAGCCAGAUAGCUCAGACCCCGACCACAGUCUGAAGAGGAUAGAUGAGCCAGAUAGCUCAGACCCCGACAACAGUCUGAAGAGGAUGGUUGAGCCGGGAAGCUCCGACCCCGACAACAGUCAAGUUUAUUCUCUCAUAUCAGAAUGUGACCUCUUCAGAAAUCUAAAACUGUUGGACCAGGACCAGGAAUGGCUGCCGGAUGAAGACACGGUUCUGUCCAGCAGAACCUCAGGCCCCUCAUCCAUUGUCAGUCUCUGCGACCCCAUGGCUCAGUACCUGAAUGAGGAAUUCAAAGCUUUCCUUGAGAGAAGAGGGACCUACAAGGAGCUAGAGAUGGUAGUUUCCAAAGUCCUGCUGAAACUUCUCCAGGCCAGAAAAGCAGACGGGGCCCCGCUGUUUAUCAGCCCUACACCUGAUAACUCUGCCCUCCAUGAUCAGAAGAAGACAUCAACGUUAGACAAGGAGAUGAAUGUAUCUCCAUUGAAUGUAACUGCUGCUGGUCCUUUGGCAGUUGACGCCUUUCCAUCACCCACACCUAAAUAUGUUGUGAUCUCUUCGGUCGAAGGACUUGACCUGGACCCCUCGACCAAUCGGUGCACAGGAAACACGAAAGAGGUACCAGAGGAGCAGUCGUCAACCAUUCUGAGGAUGGAGCAACAGGACUGGCUGAAUAAGAUUGCCUUUAACACCCAUGCCGAUGCAAAGACAGAAUACAUUAACCCUGAGCUUUUCAACAAAAAGAAGCUUGGCCAGACCCCUCAUCACAGGUACACAGGCCGUCUACCUCCAGUGAGCAGCGGCUCCCGGGGUUCGGACUCUACCACUACGACUCUGAGGGGAAUCCUCCAGGCCGCCCUGUCCAGCCUUAAUAGACAGACCAGGAGGGAGAUAUACCUCUCCCAGAAACUAGGAAGGAUCGUCAUCCCUUUCUCUGGGACACGAUAGGUCGGCCCGGAAUGAAACGUCCCAUGAAGUCAUUCUACUUAAGGACAGAUUCUGGGACAUGUAAUAAAUAGUAUCUUAAAGAACCUGACUCCAGAUAGUGCUUUUUAAUUCAUAGGUUUACAGAAAGGACUGUGUGUGUGUGUGUGUGUGUGUAUAUACUGUAUAAGGGCCAUAUGUUGAUAAAUUUGAGAUCAAUUUGAGAUCACAAUCGUCUGAAGUAGGGUUUCUCUCCGUACCUUCUUUUCUUGUCUCCUCCUCUCCUUAAUAUCAUUGACCUGAAAGCACAGAGCAGGUGAAAGUAUAAUUUAUUUGUACAUGUCCAGCUUUAUAUAGUGCAUAUGGAGGAAAGAGAAGUCAUUGAAUGAUAUGGUUGGCCAAUGGGGUCCGUGUACA